rnacentral:rRNA from 1 species
GACGAACGCUGGCGGCGUGCUUAACACAUGCAAGUCGAACGGAAAGGCCCUGCUUUUGUGGGGUGCUCGAGUGGCGAACGGGUGAGUAACACGUGAGUAACCUGCCCUUGACUUUGGGAUAACUUCAGGAAACUGGGGCUACUACCGGAUAGGAGCUCCUGCUGCAUGGUGGGGGUUGGAAUGUUUCGGCGGUUGGGGAUGGACUCGCGGCUUAUCAGCUUGUUGGUGGGGUAGUGGCUUACCAAGGCUUUGACGGGUAGCCGGCCUGAGGGGGUGACCGGCCACAUUGGGACUGAGAUACGGCCCAGACUCCUACGGGAGGCAGCAGUGGGGAAUAUUGCACAAUGGGCGGAAGCCUGAUGCAGCAACGCCGCGUGCGGGAUGACGGCCUUCGGGUUGUAAACCGCUUUCGCCUGUGACGAAGCGUGAGUGACGGUAAUGGGUAAAGAAGCACCGGCUAACUACGUG